rnacentral:misc_RNA from 1 species
AAGUCGUAACAAGGUUUCUGUAGGUGAACCUGUAGAAGGAUUAUUACUACUUACUUAUGGCCGCCUAGAGGGGAAACCCCCUUGGCGGUAUGGUAACACCUACCCUUGACUAUAUAUACCUUUCGUUAUUUCCCUUGGUGGGGCAACCUGCCGCUAGGGACAUCUAAACCCUUUUAUAUUAAGUAUUAAAACUUCUAAAACAAACCUAAAAUAUCAUAACUUUUAAUAAUAGAUCUCUUGGUUUUA